UGGCGGCGUGCCUAAUACAUGCAAGUCGAACGAGAUAGCAAUAUCGAGUGGACGAACGGGAGAGUAACACGUAGGUAACCUACCUUAUAGUUGGGAUACCCUGGGGAAACCUAGGCUAAUACCGAAUAAUUGGAUUGGAGGCAUCUCCGAUCUCUAAAAAGGGGGACCUUUAAAGCCUCGCUAAAUGAUGGACCUGCGGCGCAUUAGCUAGUUGGUGAGAUAACACGCCCACCAAGGCGAGGAUGCGUAGCCGACCUGAGAGGGUGAACGGCCUCACUGGAACUGAGACACGGUCCAGACUCCUACGGGAGGCAGCAGUAGGGAGUUUUCGGCAAGUGGGGGAAACCCUGACCGAGCAACGCCGCGUGAACGAUAGAAGGUCUUCGGAUUGUAAAGUUCUGUUGUAAGGGAAAAAUGAUAUGGUGAGGAAAUGCUCCAUAUUUGAUGGUACCUUAUUAGAAAGCCACGGCUAACUACGUGCCAGCAGCCGC
rnacentral:rRNA from 1 species